rnacentral:rRNA from 1 species
GACGAACGCUGGCGGCGUGCUUAACACAUGCAAGUCGAACGGGGAAGCCCCAGCUUGCUGCAGUGGAUCAGUUGCGAACGGGUGAGUAACACGUGAGCAACCUGCCCCUGACUCUGGAAUAAGCGCUGGAAACGGCGUCUCAUACUGGAUACGAGAAGGGUCCGCAUGGGCACUUUCUGGUAAGUUUUUCGGUUGGGGAUGGGCUCGCGGCCUAUCAGCUUGUUGGGGAGGUAAUGGCUCACCAAGGCGACGACGGGUAGCCUGCCUGAGAGGGCGAGCGGCCACACUGGGCUUGAGCCAAGGCACAGACUAGAAUGGGAGGCAGCGGUGGGGAAGAUUGCACAAUGGACUGAAGGCUGAUGUAGCGAAGCCGUGUGAGGGAAGACGGCAUGGGGGUAGGGAACCAAUGUCAGCAGGGAAGAAGUGAUAGUGACGGUACCGGCAGAAGAAGCUCCGGCUAACUACGUG